AAGCAACGCUCUGUGGUAGAUGAUCAAAACUGUCUGACACAAUUUGAGCUUGCUAUAGCAAGAAAGUCUAACCUAUUCCGGUGUUCUCCCUUCUGUGAGACGAGCCGUUACAUAGACUUAAACAGU
rnacentral:snoRNA from 13 species